rnacentral:rRNA from 1 species
GCUUAGCCCUAAACCUAAAUAGUAACAUAACAAUACUAUUCGCCAGAGAACUACUAGCAACAGCUUAAAACUCAAAGGACUUGGCGGUGCUUUAUAUCCCUCUAGAGGAGCCUGUUCUGUAAUCGAUAAACCCCGAUAAACCUCACCAGCCCUUGCUAAUACAGCCUAUAUACCGCCAUCUUCAGCAAACCCUAAAAAGGAACCAUAGUAAGCAAAACCAUGGAACAUAAAAACGUUAGGUCAAGGUGUAGCCCAUGGACUGGGAAGAAAUGGGCUACAUUUUCUAGCAUAGAACAAUCACGGAAAUUCUCGUGAAACCGAGAGUGGAAGGAGGAUUUAGUAGUAAAUUAAGAAUAGAGAGCUUAAUUGAAUAAGGCCAUGAAGCAC